rnacentral:rRNA from 1 species
GACGAACGCUGGCGGCGCGCCUAAUACAUGCAAGUCGAACGGGUCUCCUUCGGGAGGUCAGUGGCGGACGGGUGAGUAACACGUGGGUGACCUGCCCCGAAGUGGGGAAUAACGCUGCGAAAGCAGCGCUAAUACCGCAUAUGCUUAACGGUCCAAUCUGUUAAGCAAAGCAGCAAUGCGCUUUGGGAGGGGCCUGCGGCAGAUUAGCUAGUCGGUGGGGUAAUGGCCUACCGAGGCGACGAUCUGUAGCUGGUCUGAGAGGAUGACCAGCCACACUGGGACUGAGACACGGCCCAGACUCCUACGGGAGGCAGCAGUAAGGAAUAUUCCACAAUGGGGGAAACCCUGAUGGAGCGACGCCGCGUGCGCGAAGAAG